CAUUUAGUACCCAUUACUUUCAAAUAGAAUCAUAUUUUUGUUAAAUCACUUUUAAAAGGUGUUUGAAGAGUUAAUACUUUCGAUCUGCUACGUUAGUUUAUCACUUUGUAAGCAGCGCGAUUAUUCCGUUAGUAGUUAUUCAUAGUUCCAAACAUUAAUUUGUAUCAGUGAUACAAUGUAUUAAUUAGUAGCACGUAGAACGUGUUGUAAUAAGUCACAUAUUAAAAAAAUUUUGUAGAAAUAAUUCUUUUCUUGUAUGAUUUUAACGGUACAACAAAAAGAGUAUUAUAAAGGUUAGAUAUAUCGAAGAAGUGCCGUCGAGGUAAAAUUCAAUGCAAGUGCAAUAAAACAGUUAUCAAGUUUACUUGCAGGUAAUAAAAGUUAACGCAAAAUGGAGAGUAGUAAAGUGGAUGAGGAAAAUCAACGUAGUAUUAAUGAUGGAGAUUGGAUUUGUCCUGAUUCUCAAUGUGCCAAUGUAAAUUUUGCAAGACGAAAUUCUUGUAAUCGAUGCGGAAAAGACAGAGGAGAAUGCCCAAAGAAAAAAAAGUUGGGACAAGAAAUUGGGAAAGCAGCUGCUGAGAAAAGUAGAGGACUAUUCAGUGCUGAUGAUUGGCAAUGCAGUAAAUGUGGAAAUGUAAAUUGGGCGCGACGGCAGCAGUGCAACAUGUGUAAUGCACCAAAAUUUGGAGAAAUUGAAGAACGUACAGGGUAUGGUGGGGGGUAUAAUGACCGAGGAGUUGUUGAAUAUAAAGAAAGAAGAGAUGACGAUGACGAAUAUGACGAAUUUGGACGGCGUAGGAAGAAACGGAGGAUUGAGAAUCGUUCAGACGAUGAUUCCAAAGAUUCUAGGUAUAGCAGUCCACCCCGUAACAAAUCUAAAGAUGAGGACGAAAGAAAUGAAGUACAGAAUGAUGAAGACCAAAAUGAAGAAAACGAUGAAGAUGAAGAGGAAGAAGAUGAUGAAGAGGACGGUGAUCUGUCCAAAUAUGAUCUUAGUGAAUGGGAUGAUUUUGCAGUUAAAAAAAAUACAAAUGGGAGCACUGCUUCUUCGGAAGAGCAACAAUCAAGAGACAGAGAUGACUGGCGUGAUUCGGGAACAUCCAGUCAAUGAGAAUCUGCACAGAAGGAAAGGUUUGACUUGGGUUUCGGGUAUAAAAUUGAUUAUGACAGUGAAAUAUGAUUUUAAUUAUUUUAAAUUGUUGUUACUUUUCGCUGUAUCCCUUUAAAAAGUGUAUUAUCAUAUUCUAUCAUAGUUUAGUAGAUGUUAGAUUAUAACAUGGUCAAAAAGGAAGAUGUAGUGUUAAGCAAAUCUAAAGAAAUUACAAUAUAAUGCUUGUUAAAUAAAUGGCUUUUUACAGGUGAGAGAAAAUCCCGAGAGCGACAUUUGCUCGACAAUUAAGAGAUACACAACGCAACAAAUUUAGUGAUUUAGUGAGCACCUUUGGAUAAAGUGAUGAACAAUGUACGACUUAUUGCAAAGGGAAUCGAUUAACGAUAAGCUUUACAUUUUGUGACUGAACUCAUAGCUUUGUUGGCUGUAUGGAUGGAGAGUGAAAUAUAUGUAUUGAUGUCUUCGGAAUGAAGAGAAAAAGGAUACAUUUUCUUGCUUUGACUAUCACAGAUCCGAGUAAGCUGGAAGCAGCCUGCUUUAAUUGAAAUCAUGACAUGAAGUUACUAUGUCUAAAGCCCGUACGUUUAUCGACAGGC
rnacentral:misc_RNA from 1 species